GGUGUUUGUGGACCCCGGGGUGUUACACGUGUAGAGCUAGGAGAGAUGAAGAGGAAGGCUACUAAUCAGGGACAGACAGGAAGCAGUACCCAUCCCCAUUAUGCUCCACCACAAGGCACCCCAAGUCGUGGUAGUCCCAGGGAACAGUCAUCUCAAAGCCCAACUCAACAAGCCUAACCUUCAGAAUAUCAUAGAUCAGGUCCUCAUCAAGCAGGCAUUCCAGUGGGACCAGUUGCUCAUAACACUUCAACAUAUAGGGCAUGCUUUAAAUAUGGUCAAGUCAGACAUUAUGCCAACAACUGCGCUAACAAGGUUGCCUACACUACUCUAGCUCUGACGAAGCAGUGCCAAGCCUCAGGAGGUAAAAGCCAUCCCUUAUCAGUCAAUCAAGGGCAAAAAAACUUCUCGUGCGGCCAAGUCAACCAUAUAGAAGUAGAGGCAGACCCCGAAGAACCAGAAGACCUAGAAGAUAUGCUUGGAGAAAAUGAAGAAGUCUCUCAAGAAGAAAAUGAACAGCAAAAUUAGAGUCUCUUAUCUCCGUACUAAUCUCGAGGUCAAGAUUCGCUUUAAGGGUGUAGAAUUUGUG
rnacentral:lncRNA from 7 species